UGGUCAUUACCAAGGCGUUUUUAGAAGACAGUUUCUGAAUUGAUGUGGACAUCACUUUAAAGAAGAUGCCUCAUUAGGUUUGUCUUCGGCUAUUUUGCUAGAAACCCAUGAAAAUUA
rnacentral:snoRNA from 1 species